rnacentral:rRNA from 1 species
CCCUAAGAUGUUCUGGGCGGCCCGCGCACUACAUUGGCACUAGCAAAGAGAUCCUAGAUUGAAUUCUUUGGGGUAUUCUUCUAAAUGGUGUCGUGACUGGGAUAAAUCCUUGUAAUUAUUGGUUUUGAACGAGGAAUUCCUUGUAAUCGCGGUUUAUCAGCUCGCGUUGAAUGCGUCCCUGCCCUUUGUACACACCGCCCGUCGCUCCUACCGAUGGAUCGUCCGGUGAAGCUCACGGAGUGACUGUUCACGCAACGGUUUACGAAGUGAAAUGGACCUCACGAUUUAGAGGAAGGAGAAGUCGUAACA